rnacentral:lncRNA from 1 species
AAUUGUUUUCAUUGUUCAAGUGCCACGUUUUCAUUUGAAAGCUUCGACUGAAGAAAAAAAUAAAAAAUUAAACAAAUAAAUACCAUGGGACAAAGGUAUGUUUGAGACAAAAGUCUGAGAUCAUCAAUGCCAUGCGCUAUCGUUAGUGUAGCAUGAAGCUAACAGCUAGAUUGUUUGUAAAAUAUCAUUUAUUGUCUAUUAGGUAGCAUGCAGAUAAAUAUAUUAAUAUCCCCAUUGUCAUCAGUUGGUAGAUAAGUUUUUAGAAAACUGAUUGGUUAGAAGGCUUGAAUGUAUUUCGGUCGAGCUUUACAGUGCAGCAGGUCAAAGAGAGAAUGGACUAAUUAGGUGUGUGGAUCACAUUUUUGCUGUUUUUCCUAGUGUAUACUGUUAUUAAUAAUAAUAAUUAAUAAAAUAAUAAUUUAUUAGUAAAAAGCUCAUUUUGGGUACCAUGUUGGUCUAUGUUUUAUUCAAACUAAUUACAGACGAGUGAUAGACUUUCUUUAAUGACAGGAAGAACAUGAUUCAGUGUCCACUAGAGAGUAGAUCCAGUUCCUUUGCAACAAGUGUGAAUAUUGCUGAGAUAAUAUGGUUGCUAAAAGUAGGUUAGCAAUCUGUUGAUGUCUUUUUAUCUUCUCUUUCUACAGUUGGUGCAUUAUCAUCAUCAUCUCUGUCUUUCUGCUGUAUGUCACAGGUUCUUUCUCUGCUCCUGUGAGGGUCACAGUUGAGGGUUUUGUUGGAGACUUUGCUUUCUUUCCUUGUUGGAUUGUUCGAUUGUUCGAUGAAAGUGCGCUUCAAGGCAAAACAGAAGAAUUUGAAGUAUUCUGGAGAGAUGAUGAAGGCAAGAAAGUGUGUGACAUCACUGGAGGCAACAGAAUAUGUAAAGAUCCAAAGUACAAGGACAGAGUCGAAACGUUCCCAGAGGAGUAUAAGAAGGGCAACUUCUCCAUCAAACUCAGCAGUCUUCAUAAAACUGAUGCAAGGAAGUACCACUGUCACAUCACAGGACCAUCUCAGAAUCACACCAUCACAGAGCUUCAUGUCAAAGGCUUUCUAUCCUAAUAUCUCUUCUUCCUUUCAAGCCUUAUCUCUCUCUUACCAUGUACAAUCAGCAGUCUUCAUAAAACUGAUGCAAGGAAGUACAACUGUUACAUCACAGGACCAUCUCAGAAUCACACCAUCACAGAGCUUCAUGUUGAAGAUAGAGCAGGAGGAAGAGGCAACCACGGAAGACUAAAGAUUGAUGGAGAACUACAAUCAAUUGUCUUUUUUUUAGUCCGAUUUUUCUUAGCUGGCAUACUGAAUUUAAUGUUUGUAGCAAUCAGUUUUGGCAUAGUAAGGGUUUUAUUCAGUUACUAGGGUAGAAUGAAAGUAUUUUUUACUCCGUUUAAAAAAUAAUAAAUAAAUAAAUAAAAUUCUUUGGUAUUUCAACCUGAACAUUUCAGACAUGAAGAACCCAAGCACAGUAUAAUAUUAGGAAACUUGACUUUACUAGAUGAUUAAAAUGGUCAGGAAAUAUAAACCAUCACAUGCAAUGACAAAUUAAACAUAAUAGCUGCAUAUACACAAGUUACCUAAAAGAGACUUUUAACAUACAUGAACAUCAAAAUAAAAGUCUGAGUAUUUAAAUUCAUAAAAACUAAACAAAUUGUUACAACAAUUGUCCUUGAAUCCAUUUUAGGAAAUAAUAAUAAUAAUUUUUACAAUCUCUAUCCAAACAACAUUUGUAAAAACUAAAUCUAAAUUUACUAAAACAACUUAAAACAGCACAAAACGACCCACUCAUUUCAUCACAAUUUUCAGACAAAUAAGUGUUAAAUAAGGGUGAUAUACUGCCACCCUUCACAAGGCUUUACACAAGUAUUUUUGAUUUAGUUUUUUUUGCCUCCUGUAUUCACUCAUCUUUCAGUUGAAAACUUGUGUGACUGACCACUGUUACCAAAACCC